rnacentral:rRNA from 1 species
CCUACGGGUGGCAGCAGUGGGGAAUAUUGGACAAUGGGCGAAAGCCUGAUCCAGCCAUGCCGCGUGUGUGAAGAAGGCCUUCGGGUUGUAAAGCACUUUCAGUGGGGAAGAAAGCCUUGGGGCUAAUACCCUCGAGGAAGGACAUCACCCACAGAAGAAGCACCGGCUAACUCCGUGCCAGCAGCCGCGGUAAUACGGAGGGUGCGAGCGUUAAUCGGAAUUACUGGGCGUAAAGCGCGCGUAGGCGGUCUGAUAAGCCGGUUGUGAAAGCCCCGGGCUCAACCUGGGAACGGCAUCCGGAACUGUCAGGCUAGAGUGCAGGAGAGGAAGGUAGAAUUCCCGGUGUAGCGGUAAAAUGCGUAGAGAUCGGGAGGAAUACCAGUGGCGAAGGUGGCCUUCUGGACUGACACUGACGCUGAGGUGCGAAAGCGUGGGUAGCAAACAGGAUUAGAUACCCGUGUAGUC